rnacentral:rRNA from 1 species
GCCAGCAGCCGCGGUAAUUCCAGCUCCAAUAGCGUAUAUUAAAGUUGUUGCGGUUAAAAAGCUCGUAGUUGGAUCUCGGCGGGCAGGGGGUGGUUCGCUCUUCAGCGCUACUGCCCCGCUUUGCCCGUGUGAUUGGCGGAGGUUUCGGGGUGCUCUUCGUUGAGUGACUCGGAGCGCCGUCAGGUUUACUUUGAAAAAAUUAGAGUGCUCAAAGCAGGCUUUUCACGCUUGAAUAUUCGUGCAUGGAAUAAUGGAAUAGGAACUCGUUUCUAUUUUGUUGGUUUUCGGAAAUCGAGUUAAUGAUUAACAGGGACAAUUGGGGGCAUUAGUAUUCAGACGACAGAGGUGAAAUUCUUGGACCGUCUGAAGACUGACUACUGCGAAAGCAUUUGCCAAGAGUGUUUUCAUUAAUCAAGAACGAAAGUUAGAGGUUCGAAGGCGAUCAGAUACCGCCCUAGUUCUAACCAUAAACGAUGCCAGCUAGCGAUCUGCCGAGUUUUUUUUGUAGGCUCCGCAGGAAGCUUUCGGGAAACCAAAGCUUUUGGGUUCCGGGGGAAGUAUGGUUGCAAAGCUGAAACUUAAAGGAAUUGACGGAAGGGCACCACCAGGAGUGGAGCCUGCGGCUUAAUUUGACUCAACACGGGAAAUCUCACCAGGCCCGGACACUGGAAGGAUUGACAGAUUGAGAGCUCUUUCUCGAUUCGGUGGGUGGUGGUGCAUGGCCGUUCUUAGUUGGUGGAGUGAUUUGUCUGGUUAAUUCCGAUAACGAACGAGACUCUGUCCUGCUAAAUAGUUGGGUCGUCCUUCGUGCGAUCCAAGUUCUUCUUAGAGGGACUGGCUGCGUCUAGCAGCACGAGAUUGAGCAAUAACAGGUCUGUGAUGCCC